rnacentral:misc_RNA from 1 species
CCCUGCAUUCUCUUUUCGUGGAGUCAUAGAAUUGGAAACCUUAACUUCUGUCCCCUUUGCGAGCACCUGCUUUGCUCCCAAAGAUCUCUCUAGCAGAAGCCUUCAACUGGCUGAAAUCAUUUUGGAAUGUCUUGAAUGCUCGUUUGACAAUGUCCUUAUCCUUCAUUUUUUCCAUAAUAAAUGAUUUUCGAGUAGUUGUCAUAGGAGCUGAUGCAAGAGCUGCUGGAUCAGAAUUUGGAGAAUCCAAACUAAGAGACAAGUGCAAAGAUUUAGGAGCCACUUUCUUGCUUUCUCCUAUGGAAGGAUUUUUACUCUUUGCUAAGCAUGAACCAGUUAUUUUCUUUGUUGAAGGCCGUGAUGUGGACAAUGUGCUAGAAGUUGGCAUUGUCUUUGGGACCUUUGAGGUGGAAAUCUGGGGUGAUUUAGAUACAGGUGAUGCUGGUUUUUUCUUUAUCCUUGUCACAUCUCUAAUCUUACUCAUUGCAGAAGUCUUUUGAUACUCCUUCCAAUGAUCUAACUUCACAUUUUCCUCUUUAAUUACAGGAAUCCUUUGUGUCUCUUUGUCCAACUUCUCUGGCGAGUCCUUUAUUUCCUGAGACGCUGCGUACAAUGUCUCAUCUUCUUUAACUAAAGCAACUUCUUCUGGCUUGUCUAGUGUGGUACCAUCUAGUCUGAUACCCAGUUCUUCCACUCUUUCAAUCAAUGAGCCUUGACCUUCCACAUUGAUUGCAGC